rnacentral:rRNA from 1 species
UACGUAGGGUGCAAGCGUUAAUCGGAAUUACUGGGCGUAAAGCGUGCGCAGGCGGUAAUGUAAGACAGUUGUGAAAUCCCCGGGCUCAACCUGGGAACUGCAUCUGUGACUGCAUUGCUGGAGUACGGCAGAGGGGGAUGGAAUUCCGGCGUGUAGCAGUGAAAUGCGUAGAUAUGCGGAGGAACACCGAUGGCGAAGGCAAUCCCUGGGCCAACACUGACGCUCCAGGCACGAAAGCGUGGGGAGCAAACAGGA